UUAAGUGGAAAAGGAUGUGGAAUUGCACAGACAACCAGGAUGUUGGCUUAGAAGCAGCCACUCAUUAAAAGAGUGCGUAAUAGCUCACUGGUCGAGUGACUCUGCGCCGAAAAUUUAACGGGGCUAAACUAUACACCGAAGCUUGGGAUACAUCUAAUGUAUGGUAGGAGAGCGUUCUGUAUGGGGUGAAGUCGUAGCGAAAGCGGCGGUGGACUGUACAGAAGUGAGAAUGCCGGAAUAAGUAGCGAGAAUUAAGUGAGAAUCUUAAUGGCCGAAAGUCUAAGGUUUUUGGAGGAAGGUUCGUCCGCUCCAAGUAAGUCGGGAGCUAAGGUCAGGCCGAAAGGCGUAGCCGAUGCACAUACGGUUGAUAUUCCGUAACCAUCUGUAAUUUAAGCAAAGGGACACUUCAAAAGGGUGUGACCCGGGCGUUGGUUGACCCGGGCGUAAGGGACCGAAAUUAGAGUAGGGAAGCACACUUGGCUGAAGGCGAGAAAAGCUUUGCGUAUAGAAGCAGAUGCCCGUACCGCAAACCGACACAGGUGGACAGGAAGAGAAUUCUAAGGCCAGCGGGAGAAGGGUAGUUAAGGAACUCGGCAAAUUGACUCCGUAACUUCGGAAUAAGGAGUGCUCGAAAGAGCCGCAGAGAAUAGGCCCAGGCGACUGUUUAGCAAAAACACAGGUCUCUGCCAAAUCGAAAGAUGAAGUAUAGGGGCUGACACCUGCCCGGUGCCGGAAGGUUAAGAGGAGGAGUGAGAGCUCCGAAUUGAAGCCCCGGUAAACGGCGGCCGUAACUAUAACGGUCCUAAGGUAGCGAAAUUCCUUGUCGGGUAAGUUCCGACCCGCACGAAUGGUGUAACGAUCUGGGCACUGUCUCAACUACCCACCCGGCGAAAUUGUAGUACCGGUGAAGAUGCCGGUUACCUGCGGCAAGACGGAAAGACCCCAUGGAGCUUUACUGUAGCCUGAUAUUGGGUUUCGGAAAUCUAUGUACAGGAUAGGCGGGAGACUGGGAAACAUGAGCGUCAGCUUGUGUGGAGUCGAUGUUGGGAUACCGCCCUUAGGUUUCUGGAAUUCUAACCUGCGGCCGUGAAUCCGGUCGGGGGACAUUGUCAGGUGGGCAGUUUGACUGGGGCGGUCGCCUCCGAAAAGGUAACGGAGGCGCUCAAAGGUUAGCUCAGCACGGACGGAAACCGUGCCUCUGAGUGUAAACGCAAAAGCUAGCCUAACUGCGAGGGUGACGGCCCGAGCAGUAACGAAAGUUGGAGUUAGUGAUCCGGCGGUAUGUGAAUGGAAAUGCCGUCGCUCAACGGAUAAAAGCUACCCUGGGGAUAACAGGCUGAUCUCCCCCAAGAGUCCACAUCGACGGGGAGGUUUGGCACCUCGAUGUCGGCUCAUCACAUCCUGGGGCUGUAUUCGGUCCCAAGGGUUCGGCUGUUCGCCGAUUAAAGUGGUACGCGAGCUGGGUUCAGAACGUCGCGAGACAGUUCGGUCCCUAUCUGUCGUGGGCGCAGGAUAUUUGAGGAGCUCUGUCCUUAGUACGAGAGGACCGGGAUGGACGUACCUCUGGUGCACCAGUUGUCAUGCCAAUGGCACGGCUGGGUAGCUAUGUACGGAACGGAUAAACGCUGAAAGCAUCUAAGCGUGAAGCCGACUCCAAGAUUAGAUAUCCCAUCGUAUAACGAGUAAGACCCCUUGAAGACUACGAGGUUGAUAGGCUGCGUGUGUAAGUGCCGUGAGGCAUUCAGCUUGGCAGUACUAAUAGGUCGAGGGCUUGACCAC
rnacentral:rRNA from 1 species